rnacentral:rRNA from 1 species
AUAUUGGACAAUGGGCGCAAGCCUGAUCCAGCCAUGCCGCGUGAGUGAUGAAGGCCUUAGGGUUGUAAAGCUCUUUUGUCCGGGACGAUAAUGACGGUACCGGAAGAAUAAGCCCCGGCUAACUUCGUGCCAGCAGCCGCGGUAAUACGAAGGGGGCUAGCGUUGCUCGGAAUCACUGGGCGUAAAGGGCGCGUAGGCGGCCUUGUAAGUUGGGGGUGAAAGCCCGUGGCUCAACCACGGAAUUGCCUUCGAUACUGCUUGGCUUGAGUGUGGUAGAGGUUGGUGGAACUGCGAGUGUAGAGGUGAAAUUCGUAGAUAUUCGCAAGAACACCGGUGGCGAAGGCGGCCAACUGGACCAUCACUGACGCUGAGGCGCGAAAGCGUGGGGAGCAAACAGG